rnacentral:lncRNA from 11 species
GUUCUUCCUAAUGUUCAGGUGGAAUCUCCUUUCCUGUAGUUUGAAGCCAUUGUUUUACAUCCUAGUUUCCAGGGCAGCAGAAAAGGAGCUUGCUCCCUCCUCCCUAUGACUUCCCCGCAGAUAUUGAUGCAUGGCCAUCAUCAUGUCUCCUCUCAGCCUUCUCUUCUGCAGGUUAAACAUUUCCAGCUCUUUAAGCCACUCCUCAUAGUAUUUGUUCUCCAAACCAUUGAUCAUUCAACCCACUUACCAAUUUUCUAAUUAAAAGAAGUAGGAUGGAAAGGUGUGGACAGAGAAUUGGGGGACAUUUUGCAAAUGAUUUUUUAUCAUAUCUUUUUUUCUAUUUCUACACACAAACACACAUUUCUAGUAUGAACCUUGACAAUGAUAGAAAAAUAGAAGCCAUUUAUUUGAAGAUGACACUUGUUCACAGAGAAACCUGAUCAACAAAGAAUUUUCCUCCGAAUCUUUUUAUUACUUCUGUGAAUCAAAAUGAACCCACCUUAAUCAAGACACCUUGAAAAGCACCCAGUGUCAAUCAUUUUGGAAAGAACAGCUCUGUUGAAAUAUGGAAGGACAACAUUCCUUGUAUGCCAUCUUUCUUAAUUCUAUGCAACAAACCUCUUUUAAACCCAAUUAUUUGAGAUUAUCUUGACCACUUUUUAAUGAUGUGUUGAAAUUCAUUUCUUAUGUUAACUUGUAUUAAACUCACAAUUUGGGAUCUUUAAAAUAGAUGAAAAUAAGCUAAUAGAUUAUUUAAAGGCUGCCUGUUUACUGCUUUCAAAAGAGCAUAAUCAUCAUUUUUAAAAAUAACAGACAUUGGUGACAUCUCAGUGGGAGUGCUAGUUACAGAUUCAAACUCUUAAAAAAAUAAAAGGAAACACUGGACAGGGAUCAGAGGGCAGCAGAGGAAAUUUUAAAAAAGGGGUAUGGUGAGUUGAGAAGGCCUUAGGUGUAAAGAAAGUGGAAAGGCAUGUUUACUCACAGUAAGAGAAGAUUUAGAAUAGACAGGAUACAUUCAAGGGAUGCUAUUAAAAACUCAGGCAAUCAACUGCUGAGAAGACCAAGGUUGGGAGUUUUGUAAACACACUGGAUAAACAUCUGUCAAGGGUAGUUUAUGUACCAGUAAUCCUAUCUCAGAUUAAGGAGCAGUUGGUCUAGAGGUUCAUUUCAAGGUGCCCUCCAAGCCUAAAACAUUAUCAUUCCAGAAUUACUUAACUGAACGUGUGAUAUGGUU